GAUGAACGCUAGCGGCAGGCCUAAUACAUGCAAGUCGAGGGGUAUGGGUUGCUUGCAACCCAGAGACCGGCGCACGGGUGCGUAACGCGUACGCAAUCUACCUUAAUCAGGGGGAUAGCCCGGAGAAAUCCGGAUUAACACCGCAUAACAUUGAGUUGUGGCAUCACAGUUCAAUCAAAUAUUUAUAGGAUUAAGAUGAGCAUGCGUGACAUUAGUUAGUUGGUGAGGUAACGGCUCACCAAGACCACGAUGUCUAGGGGAUCUGAGAGGAUGACCCCCCACACUGGUACUGAGACACGGACCAGACUCCUACGGGAGGCAGCAGUAAGGAAUAUUGGUCAAUGGGCGCAAGCCUGAACCAGCCAUGCCGCGUGCAGGAAGACGGCCCUAUGGGUUGUAAACUGCUUUUGUACCGGAAUAAACCUUCUCUUGCGAGAGAAGCUGAACGUACGGUAAGAAUAAGGAUCGGCUAACUCCGUG
rnacentral:rRNA from 1 species